GUGUUGUAUAAAAGCAGAGAUGGUUAGCACUCCCCUUAAUACGAAAUGAUAAACUUGAGGGAGAAAUCGUGUUUAACACAAUUUUUCUAUGUUUUGU